GACGAACGCUGGCGGCGUGCUUAACACAUGCAAGUCGAACGGAAAGGCCCUGCUUUUGUGGGGUGCUCGAGUGGCGAACGGGUGAGUAACACGUGAGUAACCUGCCCUUGACUUUGGGAUAACUUCAGGAAACUGGGGCUAAUACCGGAUAGGAGCUCCUGCUGCAUGGUGGGGGUUGGAAAGUUUCGGCGGUUGGGGAUGGACUCGCGGCUUAUCAGCUUGUUGGUGGGGUAGUGGCUUACCAAGGCUUUGACGGGUAGCCGGCCUGAGAGGGUGACCGGCCACAGUGGGACGGGGAUGCGGCCCAGAGGCGGCGGGGAGGGGGCGGUGGGGAAGAGAGCACGGGGGGCGGCGGUCUGACGAGGCGACGCGGGGGGCGGGUGGCGGGCCUUGGGGUUGAGAGCCGCCUUGGCGUGUGGAGAGGGGGGAGGGAUGGUAAGGGGUAAAGAAGCACCGGCUAACUACGCACCAGCAGCCGCGGUAAUACGCGGAAGAGCCCUCCUCUGACC
rnacentral:rRNA from 1 species